CCUCACGCCUGCCUACCGCGCAGCGGCCCUCUCACACACGUAUGCGCAUACCUUCACGCACUGGUUGACGUUAAGCUAGGUCAUGGGAUGGCGCCGCGUUGCCCGCAGGGGCUUCUCCAGGCGCAACGCCGCCGGCGCUGCGCUUCUUGUGGCGACUCGAGACGCACGACCGCCGCGUCCGCCGGCGUGGGCCUCAACGCAUCUCCGCCGUGUCCCCAUGGCGGCGCCACCAGGGGGUCGGCAAGAAGCGGUGUCUUCACGGACUGUCGCCACGCCCAGCUACUCAUCGAGGAGUCAACGAGGUGAAAGAGUCUCGCCAAGCAGGUCCGCCUCUGACCAAACCUCCGCAGCGGCUCACGCGGGCGCUCGCUCAGUACAGCGUGCAUCGUCGUACGGCGUGACAGCCUCGUCCUCCCUUGUCUUUGCGUCUGACGUGCGCAGCCGUGCCGUCGGUUCAGAGGCGACGACUCCGCCUCCGCAGAGCUACGCCUACGUAAACAGUGCCGCCGCCGUCGGCGCCCCGGCUGCGCAGGCGCCUGCAUACCGCGGAUCUUCACCUGCCCUCCCCGGCCGCACGGCAGCCGCCACCGCAGCGUCGGCGUGCUCUAGAACGAAGGUUGCGGUGGAUGGCGAGGAUGAGCUCGUGGCAGCUGCACCGAGCGCGGUACGUCGGGCACUGAUACAACAAGGCCUCCGCGCGGACGGCAACGUGGAUGGCUCGGACGCCACAGUAGCGCUGCUGCGCUCCGUCGCUGAUCCCUCGGCGACCGCGUUCCGCAACAGCUCCCGUGAGGGUGGCCAUGUGCCCGGCAGCACCGCCCCCUCCACCCCAGCUGAGCGACACGCGCACCGACAGCGACAGCGGCAGGUUCGCGAAGCGCGAGAGCGGCGGCGACAGGAGCGCGCACAACAGAAAAGCGGUGCAUCCGUGCACCCGUGUCGGCUGCAGGGAGGCUGCCAACACCAGCUUUGCGGGGCAUCGACUCGUGCUUCAGCCGGGGAUGGGCGGGUCACGCAUGCCAGCGUGUGCCCCUACCGGCACCACCCCUCGCACUACUGCGUAACGCAACUGCGAGACGGUCACUGCUCCUUGCACGAUGUGGGGUGCUGCCCUUGGACACACGGCGAUCCGGGCGAAGGGACCGGCAGGGCAAGUCCCGGCUCGGUGGCGUCCGACGCGGAUGCCAACUUCGACUUUGACCUGCAGGGCCUAUCGCCGCUGGUGCCGCUUGAGUCGACGCUGGAGGAGGCUGCACUGCGGCGCUCUGCGGAGAAGGUUGGCGAGCUACUGCAGGUUUUCGUGGACAUCGUGAGCGUUAUGAUGGAAGCGGCGCCGGCGGAGCAGCGGAUAAGCUUCGCCUGCGGUGACGUCAGCGCCUUCGACGGCGUUGUGGGUGAGGCUCUGUCACGUGGGCCGUGUUCGGGGGAUUCAUGCGCGGGGGUGGCACGCCGCUCUUCUCUCUCGACGCUGGUCACUGGUGCUCCGACUUCUCGCACACCGGCCGGCGUGAAGGGCAGGGAGCUGGAUCUGCGCUUGGAGUUCGUGCCGAGCGGAGGCUCGACAGAUGAUGCCCAAGCAUGGCGUAUGCUUUCCGUACCGACUGAACUCGCUUGGUGUGCCGUCGGCAUCCGUAGCGAGGGCGAAGCGUCUUCAUCGUUUUCGGCAGCAGACCCCAGCGCCAUGGAUGCGAGCCCUUUUACAGCUGAGGAGCGUGAGUACUGGAGCAGCUACUUUACCAUCACAGCGUUAUCGCACGGAGCGGCCGAGCGUCACGCAACGGCUGGUGUCUGCCGUGACGACCACGGAGCUCCACACGGCGGCGUGUCGAACCUGCCGCGCUUGCGACUGACCCCGUGUGUAACGGCUUGGGUUCUCAAGGCGGCAGCGACGCUAAUGCGUGCUAAGGGCAACCGCGAAGCUGUGAGCGAUGGACUGGUAGACGGAACCGCAUUCUCGGCGGCCCCUGCGACGACGGCGAGCGCAUGCUUCGAGCAAGCUACGCUGUACUUGCUCGGGUGGCGAAGGGCGCAGCUGCAGCGAUGCCUCAUCGAGGAAGUCCAUGAAGCUGCACACCAUGCAGGGGCGGAGAUGUUCGCCGUUGGUGAAGCCUCGACCACCGUGCCUACGGCUUCAGCGAGGCGGCACCACGAGCCGCAGCGCUCAGCUGAAUCGCCACUACGCUGGUCGCCUGUUUCGUUCUUGAGGGAUGCACUGCUGUGCACCUACCUGUACGCGGCACAGCCAGCUACGGCUGCACUCGAGCAGGAGAUGGUGAUCAACGAAGACGUGGCCGAUGCCAAUGCGAGGACGACUCGAGGGAUCAACCCCAACCGCCGCACGACGCUGUUGGAUGUCUUUCUGGAUUCUGUGUGCACCAGCGAUGCGACGGCGACAUCAAAGAGAACAGCGUCAGCGGCGUCGGUGCGCGACGGAGGUCUCUUCAGCGCUGGCCGCCGGCACGCCCCAGCCCUCCUCUCCUCCUCCGCACUUACGCAGUCGACCUUGAUGACAGCAAAGAGCUCCGCUUCGGCUUCGAUGCGGCGCUUCCACACGGCCUGGGACGAGGCCCACGCCGUGGUGGUGCAGCUGCACAAGGGGUUAAUUCAGUGCUUUGGUGAGAGGGCCACCACGGCGCCGGCGGUGGCGGCGCCUCUCUGUCUAUACACCCAGCCCGCCAUGCUGCAUGUCGUCUCGUCGCUCACCGUCGGGUUUGCACGGUGCCACGAGACUGACUUGCGAAGGGCUGCCGGGUGGGAACCGUGGACGGAUGUGCAGAUGUUCCUUAAGGAGCACGCCGCCGUGUACAACGCCGACACGUACGCACGGCACCACAUGCCAUCUGUACGGCUCGGACUGCACAACUCUCUCCUUAACGCCUUGCUGCUCCUCACCACCCACCACGCUGACACGGCCUUCCAGCUGCGAGAGCCCAGCGACGUGCGGCGCGUACUGCUCUCGUCGCCCGCGGUGGACUUCGCCGCGUCAAAGGGCUGCACUGCAGCACCAUACAAGGUUGCGGUGCGACAAGCCAUGUCGUGGUGGUGCACGAUGCAGCAGGAAGCGCCAGCGUACCGACACCAGAACCUGCAGUCCAGCAUCGCCAUCUCCAUGGGCUUCUUGACGGCACUUCAAGAGCACAGUCGCGAGCAGCUCGAGGUGCGCGAAGCUCUCAUGCGCGAGUACGAGCAGCGCCGCGCUGCCUACGAGCGCAACCACAAGGAGGGGCAAGGCGGCCUUUCCCACUCUUUCGGUGGUGGCGCGUCGCGAGUGCGCAAGUACUACGCCUCUUCAUCUCAGUCUCCUGAGGAAAGACUAGCAGAGCAGCGACAGCGCCUGGAGGAGCUGCGCGGGGUCGCGCUGAUUGAUCGGCUCUUGCCGUUCGGGUCAGCCACCGUCUCCCCGGAUGCCACCGCAUCCUUGCUGCGUCAGCUGCUUGAAGGCGGGCAUCCGUACAAGGCGCUGAAGCUGGCCGCCUCGAUCGUGCACGCCAGCCGGAUGUUACGCCACGCCGACAAGCAGCCGCGGCCUUUGCUUCAGAAAGGCGUUCGAACGGUGCACACUCGAGUUUGGAGUCGACGAUUGCAGCGACAUGUGCUUGUGAAAAAGCGCGUGCCAGUUCUACGUUUGGUGGGCGACCUAGACGCCGAAGGCUCAGACGACGGCGACGCGCGACCUGGGGCGCAGGCACGCCGUUCGGUGCGCCCCGUCGGCCUCGCUUUCGUGAUCAGCGACCGCGCUGUGGUGGAGAUGGCGCGCGUCGGGCUGCGAAUGGGCGAAGCCGGCGCUGCGCUGGUGCGCGGCAUCGUGCGGGACUGCCAACAGGGCGCCUUGCUGGAUUUCACGCACCGCAGAGGGCUGCCAGUUCCAUUGUGGGAGGACAUCGCCGACAUGCUGUCCAAGGCGAGAUUGACUCAGUCCCUAUUCUCAAUGGCAGCGCCUGCCUCAGCUUCCGUCGCCGCUACCGCGUCGUCGCAGCAGCUUCACGAGUGCAAAGCCCACGGUGCUCGCCGUCGCGUCACAGAAGGAAGCGAGGCAGCCCUGCUCGUCAUCAUGGGUGUUGGUAGCGGCGAAGCUCGCCUCGGCCGCAGUGACGUCGACGGCUAUGGUGCCGCACAUCAGCGUAUCGCUCCCACACCGGCGCUGCUAGAAGUUCUGCAGACCCACACGCCUCCCUCCAGCACGGCGCAGCACACUGCCUACCUCAAAUUGCUCCUCCAGGACGUCGCGCGCUUCUCCACUGUUCCAGUGCUGCUGGCGCUGCAGUACCAGGCCUGUUUUGGCCGCAGCCGUUACGCAACGUCGCGCGCGGAUGGCCUGGGCGGCGCCACUGCGGCGAUGCAGGCCGCCUAUGUGAUGACCGUCUCGGCAACUGGGACAGCGUCAUCGUUCCCCGAGUCAAGCCAGGCGUCUUCUUGCCCCACCUCUGCUGCGGCUUCUGCCGCCGGUGGUGACGCCUCUCGUGCAUACCCCACUCCCGCGGAGUGCAGCCGACUCUUGCAAGCGCUACAUGCCGAAGCGGAAGCCCAGCGGCCAGCACUGCAGGAGGCCAUUCUCUCCGAUGCGUCAAGCCUCCGCCGUCACCGCGGAGCCGCGGACGAUGUUUCCUCGUCGUCAUCGCUCUCUGCGUUGCACGCCUAUCCCUGCCUGAAAGAGGUGAAGGCGCUGCUUCUGGGCACCUCGCGGGAGGGCGGCGCGCCCCGCGCAGGGGUAGGGCGAGACGGAGAGGAAGGGGCCGCGGCGGUACCGGCGGUGCGGCGCCGGGCAAAGCUGAGCCUUGCCGUACUGCUUCAUCACCUGUGGACGUCUAGCAUCCUCGCGCGAUCAGCGGCGCAGCAGAGCACGUCACUCUGGGCCGUGUGCGCAGCCACGCUACUCGGCCUGGCGGAGGCCGCGUUGCUCCGUUCUCAGGGCAGCAGCGACACCGAGAGGGGCGGGUUGGAGGUGGACGGCACCUGCGCUUCUCUGGCACUGCAUCACGCCUACGUUGCCGCUGGUCCACUGCUGCGGCGCGUGGCACCGCAGCAGAGCCCAUUGUACGUGGAUGCAACUGUGAAGGCGCUGCUGCUUUGCAGCCCUCUGGUGUGUUGCGAGGACAGCCGUAAGGACAACGGUGGCGUCGCCUGCGCAGCUCGCUCGAGCUCAUCCUUAGCCGCCACUCCGACCCGCACCAAACGGACCGACGGCUCCCUUGCAUCUACUCACCGCGGCGAGCACCCAAGUGAUGAGUGGCCCAUGGUUCUGUCCUCUGCCAGCGCGGCACGUGUACGCUCUCUGCCCGCCUUUCUUGCGCUCCAGUGUUCCUUGUGCACUGCCUUGUACACAGCAGAGCAGUUUACACCAACCACAGAGACUCCGUUGCUGACUCCGGUACCUGCGCACCUUGCUUCCCUCCUCGAGGGUCUGGCGGCUGCGCGCGCUGCUCCGCCGGACCGCGUGCGCGAGUGGCCCGCGUGGAAGCUGUUCGCGCCGCUACUUCGGCAGCCUGUGCUGGCGCAAAUGUGGCUGCACGACGCAUUCUUGUGUCCUUCCUCGAAUCUCCUGAUGUGGCUUGUUGGAGCACUCAGUCGCGAUGACGUGGAGGGCUACGCCAUGCUGCGCGCGUGGCUGGAGCAUAUCCAAGCAGGGCCGCGCCUUACGCUUGCGAUGCUGCAGGAGCUGCUUGCUGAGACGGAACGCUGCCAUCGCUCUGCGGUGGCACGCCGCCUACGAAGGCAGCGCCGUUGAGUCUAAGAGUAGUUCUUUAGGCUCGGGGGAUGCGGCUGCACCCAUGCACCAUACCUCCUUCCCUCUCCGCUCCUCUCUUGCGCGCGGCACUGUAGCGCGUCGAGGAAGGAGAGGGAAAACCAGCGCAGAGAACAGGUGCGCCGGCGUGUGCGUCUCAGAGCUGCCGCGUCGUUGUCAGUUGGUCCGAGAGGUGCAAAGGAGGGGGUUCACGGAAAGUCAUGACGACUGCCGGAUGCUAACACAGUGAGCCGAAAGAAUCCUGAAGCCGCACUCGGGCAGGCGCACAGGACAUGCUGAAGGAAGACGGUCGCACAGCUGUGCUGCGACUGCCCUCCCGCCGUUUGGUUUACCCUCCGUCCUCAAGGCGGCACGACUUGGCCUGCUGCACUAUCGCGAUGUCUCUCGCUCUGUCUCUGCCAG
rnacentral:misc_RNA from 1 species